UACGGAGGGGGGCUAGCGUUGUUCGGAAUUACUGGGCGUAAAGCGCGCGUAGGCGGACCUGCAAGUCGGGGGUGAAAGCCCGAGGCUCAACCUCGGAACUGCCUUCGAUACUGCGGGUCUCGAGUCCGGGAGAGGUGAGUGGAAUUCCUAGUGUAGAGGUGAAAUUCGUAGAUAUUAGGAAGAACACCAGUGGCGAAGGCGGCUCAGCUGGCCCGGUACUGACGCGUGAGGCGCGAAAGCGUGGGGAGCAAACAGG
rnacentral:rRNA from 1 species